UACGUAGGGUGCGAGCGUUAAUCGGAAUUACUGGGCGUAAAGCGUGCGCAGGUGGUUUGUUAAGUCAGAUGUGAAAGCCCCGAGCUUAACUUGGGAACUGCGUUUGAAACUGGCAAGCUAGAGUCUGUCAGAGGGGGGUAGAAUUCCACGUGUAGCAGUGAAAUGCGUAGAGAUGUGGAGGAAUACCAAUGGCGAAGGCAGCCCCCUGGGAUAAGACUGACGCUCAUGCACGAAAGCGUGGGGAGCAAACAGGAUUAGAUACCCUGGUAGUCCACGCCCUAAACGAUGUCAACUGGUUGUUGGGCAACUUGAUUGUUCAGUAACGAAGCUAACGCGAGAAGUUGACCGCCUGGGGAGUACGGUCGCAAGAUUAAAACUCAAAGGAAUUGACGGGGACCCGCACAAGCGGUGGAUGAUGUGGAUUAAUUCGAUGCAACGCGAAAAACCUUACCUACCCUUGACAUGUACGGAAGUCUGCCGAGAGGUGGAUGUGCCUGAAAGGGAACCGUAACACAGGUGCUGCAUGGCUGUCGUCAGCUCGUGUCGUGAGAUGUUGGGUUAAGUCCCGCAACGAGCGCAACCCUUGCUAUUAAUUGCCAUCAUUAAGUUGGGCACUUUAAUAGGACUGCUGGUGAUAAACCGGAGGAAGGUGGGGAUGACGUCAAGUCCUCAUGGCCCUUAUGGGUAGGGCUUCACACGUCAUACAAUGGCCGGUACAGAGGGAUGCCAACCCGCGAGGGGGAGCCAAUCUCAGAAAGCCGGUCGUAGUCCGGACUGUUCUCUGCAACUCGAGAGCAUGAAGUCGGAAUCGCUAGUAAUCGCGGAUCAGCAUGUCGCGGUGAAUACGUUCCCGGGUCU
rnacentral:rRNA from 1 species